UGGGUUUGAUGGAACAGAGAUGUGACUGCAUUGCUCUGCUUUGGCUGGAGGCCGUUCCUGAGGCAGUUUUGUUUCCACUAAGUAUUAAGAAUAAAAGAGCAGCUCCUGGUCGUGUGUGUGUGUGUGUGUGUGUGUGUGUGUGACUGUUCCCUUCCAA